GCUGAGGUCCCGGGUCCUGGGGGCCGCGCCAGGCCGCUCUGGGCUGUGGUUUUUCGGGCCUAAUGCGUGCCAGUGCUCCUUUUUUUUUUACCGGGAAUCUUUGUCUUGACGUUUAUAAAUGUUAAUGUGCAAUUGAGGUACCCUGUGUUUGCCUUUUCCUCCCACUUUUAUAAGGUGGCUUUUCUCAUGUUAGUAAACAUUUUGGAAACUGUCGGACUUUUUUGGGCCACGCUCGAGGACUGCAGCCUGGGAGCACAGAUUCAAGGCGCCCUGAAUGGAGCUCUUUAAAAUGUUCCGUGGACCUGAACAAAUGAGCCCUCCCAGGAGAUCAAGUGGCGGUGGCUCAAGAUAUCACUUCCAGAAAUUCACUCCCUCAGUAGGUGGUGGUGAGGGCAACAUUUGCCUUCCUCUGCCUCACCUGGGAUACAGCUGUGAUGCAUGUGAGCCUGGAAUCUUCCUCCACCUCCCCUGGACUGCAGCUGUGAUGCACAUGAGCCUGGAACCUUCCUCUACCUCCCCUGUGCUGCACUGUGAUGCAGGUGAGCCUGGGACUUUCCUCCACCUCCCCUGGGCUGCAGCUGUGAUGUGUGUGAGCAGGACCCCUCCUCUAUCUCCCCUGGGCUGCAGCUGUGAUGUGUGUGAGCAGGACCCCUCCUCUAUCUCUCCUGGGCUGCAGCUGUGA
rnacentral:lncRNA from 13 species